rnacentral:snRNA from 1 species
GUUGUUUGUACCUUGUAGGUCUGU